UUAACUCCAUCAGUUGCCGUCAUAACCGGCCUACCCGUUUCACCAUAUGCUUGACCCAGACCAGGACCAGGAAUCUGAUGAGGUUGGUGAUGGUAUACCAUCGGUACAUGCUGGUAUUGUGGAAGAUACUGACCCUGCAUUAGAACCGGUUGAACCAAAUGAUUACCAGGUUGAACCAUAUGAUUACCCGGUUGAACCAUAUAAACCGGUGACUGGUAAUGAAACUGUGGGCCAGGGGCGGCGUAUUGCCAUUGCGAGUUAACCGGAAUAUUACUCUGUUGAAUUACUUGCUCCGGUUGAGGAUCGGCUUUUGG
rnacentral:lncRNA from 1 species